rnacentral:pre_miRNA from 1 species
GAGUACUCCAUCCAUCCCAAAAAUAGGCAAAUAUUGGUUACUGUCCGUCUUAUAUGAAAUUUUUUUAUAAUUCGUAUUUUCAUUAUUGUGAGAUGAUAAAACAUGAUUAAUAUUUUAUGCGUGACUUGUCUUUUUUAUUUUUUUUCAUAAUUUUUUUAAAUAAGACGGAAGGUCAAACGUUGGGCAUGGAAACCAGGGUUUCUCUUUUU